rnacentral:tRNA from 1 species
GGGAAGAUGGCUCAGUGGUAGAGUGCUUGCCUUGCAUGCAUGAGGCCCUGGGUUCGAUUCCACAGCGUCUCA